GAGUAACGCGUUGGGUAACCUGUCCUUAUAGGCGGGGGAUUAACUUAUUAGGAAACGAUAGCUAAUACCGCAUAACAAUAGAGAUUGCAUAAUUCUUUAUUUGAAAGUGCCAACUGGUACACUAUGAGAUGGACCCGCGUUGUAUUAGCUAGUUGGUAGUGUAAUGGACUACCAAGGCGAUGAUACAUAGCCGACCUGAGAGGGUGAUCGGCCACAUUGGGACUGAGACACGACCCAAACUCCUACGGGAGGCAGCAGUAGGGAAUCUUCGGCAAUGGACGAAAGUCUGACCGAGCAACGCCGCGUGAGUGAAGAAGGUUUUCGGAUCGUAAAACUCUGUUGUUAGAGAAGAAUGUUGAUUAGAGUGGAAAAUUAAUCAAGUGACGGUAUCUAACCAGAAAGGGACGGCUAACUACGUG
rnacentral:rRNA from 1 species